rnacentral:misc_RNA from 1 species
UGGUUUCUGGAGCAGUCAGAGUGGGAGCUGCUUCUGCAGGCCAGCGAGCGCACCCAACUACCGAUACUGCGCAUGGCGCUCGGGCUGGCAACAUUGUUCUCAGCGGGCAGCGCGGCNNNNNNNNNGGAGCUGAAGGGGAUCAAGAACCACAUUCUGGCAACCUGCCUGAGCCAAAUUCUUCGUGACGACACAGGCAGUCCGUCAAAACACGAUCGCAUGGUCGGUCUGCUGCAAAGAUUCAACACGCCGGAGAUCAACAAUCAAAAGAUCAAAAGAUCGCGCCAUUCAUCAAAAUCGGCUUCGGCCAGAUGGCCAACCCUGCCGGUUUAACAACCUAUUUGUUGGGAAACGCCAAUGGCGGCGGAUUUAUCAUCGAAGG